rnacentral:rRNA from 1 species
UGGGGAAUAUUGGGCAAUGGAGGCAACUCUGACCCAGCCAUGCCGCGUGGGUGACGAAGGUCUUCGGAUUGUAAAGCCCUUUCGGCGGGGACGAUGAUGACGGUACCCGCAGAAGAAGCCCCGGCUAACUUCGUGCCAGCAGCCGCGGUAAUACGAAGGGGGCUAGCGUUGUUCGGAAUUACUGGGCGUAAAGGGCGUGUAGGCGGCCCGUUAAGACAGGUGUGAAAUUCCUGGGCUCAACCCAGGACGUGCGCCUGUGACUGGCGGGCUUGAAUCCGGGAGAGGAUGGUGGAACUCCCAGUGUAGAGGUGAAAUUCGUAGAUAUUGGGAAGAACACCCGUGGCGAAGGCGGCCAUCUGGACCGGUAUUGACGCUAAGGCGCGACAGCGUGGGGAGCAAACA